GCUGCCGCAAAUUCGGCAGACGGGAUUGGCGUCCCGGUAGCAUUGGCGGACACACCGCCUCAGAGCGGUUUUUUU
rnacentral:sRNA from 1 species